rnacentral:rRNA from 1 species
UGUGUAGGCGGUUCUUUAAGUUUGGUGUGAAAUCUCCCGGCUCAACCGGGAGGGUGCGCCGAAUACUGAGGGACUAGAGUGCGGGAGAGGAAAGUGGAAUUCCUGGUGUAGCGGUGAAAUGCGUAGAUAUCAGGAGGAACACCGGGGGUGUAGACGGCUUUCUGGACCGUAACUGACGCUGAGACACGAAAGCGUGGGUAGCAAACAGGAUUAGAUACCCUGGUAGUCCACGCCCUAAACGAUGCAUAUUUGGUGUGGGUCAUUCAGUUGAUCCGUGCCGGAGCUAACGCGUUAAAUAUGCCGCCUGGGGAGUACAGUCGCAAGGCUGAA